rnacentral:sRNA from 1 species
CCCGUGAACCUGCGGUAAGGAUCAUNCGUGAACUAGAGGUGUCGAGCCCUGCUCGAGCCUUCAUCACAAAUCCAUUUACACCUGUGCACCGUCGGUUGGUCCUUGGUUUUGGGCCCUCAGACAUUAAACCUUUUACCUAACUAUUACAUGUGAUAUAAUGUGACAUCAUUGAAACAAAUCAAAACUUUCAACAACGGAUCUCUUGGCUCUCGCAUCGAUGAAGAACGCAGCGAAAUGCGAUAAGUAAUGUGAAUUGCAGAAUUCAGUGAAUCAUCGAAUCUUUGAACGCAGCUUGCGCUCCUUGGUAUUCUGAGGAGCAUGCCUGUUUGAGUGUCAUGAAAUCAUCAACCUUCGCCUUGGUUUCUUCCGAGGUCGUUGGCUUGGACCUGGGCGUUUGCCGACCAGUCAUGGCCGGCUCGCCUCAAAAUCAUCAGUGGAUCUAGUCUGAGAAACAAGGCUCGACCUGGCGUAAUAAGUAUUUCGCUGGGGAACAUGCCAUUGAGGCAUGGCCAGGUUUCUCGACAUCGUAUCUGCUCUCCAACCCCAAAAUCAUCUUGACAUCUGGCGUCAAAUCAG